AGAGAGAGCAUGUUACUGUUAAUAACUCGAUGAAGUGAUUACAACUUUAUUUCAUUUUUGAGUAAAUUGUUCCGGAAGGUAUCCGCAUCCGUCAGGAGGUUUUUGGGUGCUGGACAGCACUGUGUCAUCGUGUUUUAUGAGAAGAAAAACUCCGGUUGUUGUUUUGUAUGAGUGGAUUGUGAUGGAGCCAGAGCCCGGACCAGAGGGACGUGGAGCAGUAAACCUGCUUACAUGCGUGGAGCGUGUAACGUCGGAGGCAGCUUCAUCGCGCAUCUGGAGCUCAUCUACCACAUCAUACAGAUGAGAAACAAAAUCACACUACACGGGGUUCCUGGAGCCUAUCCCAGCUGGCAUCGGGCGAGAGGCGGGGUCCACCCUGGACAGGUCACCAGCCUGUCUAUCCUAUAGAGAGUGAGCCAUUCCAACAUCUCAUCGACUGUGUGGGACUGCUACCUCCAUCUAAGUCGGGAUGCACCUACUUGUUGACGGUAAUGUGUCAGACCACUCCUUACGCAGCGGCGUAUCCACUACGCUCCAUCACCACACGGUGCAUUGUGAAAGCUUUGCCCCAAUUUACAUCUAUCAUUGGUAUCACCAGGGUCAUACAGAGCGACCAGGGGCCCAGCUUCACAUCUCAAAUGUUUGCCCAAGUUCUACACCAGUUAAGGGUAAAGCAAAACAAAGUUAGCACUUAUCUUGCUCAGAGCCAGUGAGCUGGAGUUUGGACAUAAAGUGAGGGGACCCCUGGCGGUUUUGCAGGAUGGUCUAAAGCCUGCAGAGCUACCUGUAAAUCUCAUUGAUUGUGUGAACGGUGUUCACCGUAGGUUACAUCUGGCGGUUAAGAUGGCAGUGGAACUUAUGACCGCCAUCCAGAGUAAGGUGAAGCCGUACUAUGACCGCAGAGCCUCGAGUGUUCUGUCCUGGAGACCAGGUGUUGGUGUUGCUGCCUAUCCCCGCUUCACCAUUCCAGGCCAGGUUCACUGGACCGUACACAGUGGUCCAACAGGUCUCUGAACAGAACUAUACUGAACAGAUACUAACUGAUUUAAGGGGUCUAGUUGGUCAUUAGCCAGAAGAAAAGGCAGGGAGUUGUCAGAGCUGUUAGCUGCUUUCCCCUCCCUGUUUUCUGAUACUCCUUCUUGUACCCAUUUAGCGCAGCACGAUAUCAAUGUUGGAGAAGCAAAACCAAUUGGCCAGAGGUUCUGCAGAGUCCCACUGGAGAAACAGCGCCGCCUGAACGCUGAGGUUCAGUAUAUGAUUGACAACGUGUUGGCGGUGCCUUCUAACUCCAGUUGGGCCUCUCCAUGUGUAGUGGUAGGAAAACCAGACAUGACUGACAGAUUUUGCACAGAUUACCGAAAAGUGAAUGCUGUAACGAACCCUGACUCCUUUCCCUUACCUAGGAUGGAGGAUUGUGUGUGGAUGCAGUGAGAUCUGACAGAUUUGCGGGUAAAUUUACAUUCAUCAUACCAUCCAGCCUUACUUCUACAAGGAGUUUUGGGUUACAGAAUGCGCCGGCAACUUUUCAGUGCCUGAUGAAUGGUAGUAGCAGGGCUGGAGGGCGUAGUCGUAUACCUAGAUGAUCGUAGUGUGCAGUGAUACUUGGCAGCAGCACAUGGAUCAUAUACAUGCGUUGUCGGUACGACUCUAGAAGGCCAACCUCACGAUUAACUUAGUCAAGUGUGAGUUUGCAAGGGCGACAGUACCUCGGGAAAGUAGUGGGCCAGGGACAGGUGAAGCCAGUGAGGGCUAAGGUCUAAGCCAUCAAUCAUUUCCCACCUCCUGUUUUCAAGGAAUGGUCGGCUAUUAUAGAAGUUUCUGUCCGAACUAUUCCACGGUGGUUGCCCCACUGACCGGCCUACUACAGCAGAAGGUUAAGUUUGAGUGGUCUUCUGCCUGCCAGUAGGCUUUGGACCAAGUGAAGGGGCUACUUUUGAUGUGUAUGUGGGAGGGGGAGUCCAUCCAGUAGUCGAGUAUUCAGACCACAAUCCCCUAACCUUCCUUCACUCUUUGCGAGUCCGAGCCAGCGGCUGAUGAGACGGACGCUCUUUCUACAGCCUUACAACCAGAGCAUCCAGCACAUACGUGGUGUGGACAACGUCAUAGCAGAUGCAAUGUCACGUGCGCCAGAGGGGUCUGAGUGAGCCCGUUUCCUCCCCCUUCAGUUUCUCCUUGCAAUAUCCCAUCUAACCUGGUCUUUCCUCCUUAAAGAUGCUCUUCUGGGUAGCUUCUUCUGGGCAGCGGUGUGUAGGGGUGAACCAGCAGGGUGG